rnacentral:lncRNA from 1 species
GGUACACAGCUUCUAACUACAGCCACUACGUUAUAGGUCCUGGCUGUGGACAGGCACAUACAGAAUAAAAAAAAAUGAUUGAAUUUAAUGUGACUGUUCUAGUUGAUUAUAGACAGUGUUUUGAGAAGCUGCAAUAUGAUAUUUAAUAUUGUUCUUUAUGUGUGUCUUAAUGCUGGUAAAUAAAACUUUUGAAAUUUUUAGAUCUGGAAAAGUGCAAUAGAUGUUCUGGUGUUCGAUGGAAAAAGUCACACCCUGCUUGUAGAAUACAUUUGUACCUCAUUUAGG